ACUCUCCUUCAUGGAUUCCCUGCACAUGAUCUGUGCGCCACACUAGCUGCCUGAUGCCCAGCUUGUUUGGUUGACUAGAAUGGCCAUCCCUGUGAACCACCAGCCUCCAGGAAAUAUCUGCAGGAGGUGGCGGUACUUGCUCCGGUGAUCACCUGCUGACAUUCACUGGGAUAGCCACCAGCGGGGUGAGGACAGAUGCAGCACCUGUCUCCUGCUGAGACUCAGCAAGUAUCAGUGUGGACCAUGAAUUGCUUAAAAUGGGAUGGUGGAGAGAACUAUUUCAUUUUACUACAUACCAGUGUGCAUCAAAAUCAGAUCCUAUUGGUUCUGUCUUGACUACCCCGAGACAGCAUUUUGUCUUCACACUGCAGCCAGCCUGGCACUUUGAGAACAUCAGGCAGAAUAGUCUACUUAAAGAAGACUGUCCAGGACAAAAGCUGGCCAACUCCAUUCAGCCCUGAGGCCAGUAGUUAAAGCAGGAUGCAGAGAAAGGUGUCUUCUCAAGGUCAAGACAAUGUCUUUAUGUGGGUCAGCAUAUGCCACUGACGGCUUUGAAAUGUGCUUUCGCCAAACAUGGAGAAUCUGCCUUCUCAGCCAAGCUUCCCUUCAGGGAAUCUACUCUGCCAAAGCCCAAGGGGCUGCUCCCCAAGUUUAACGGUUCUAAUGAGACUUAGAGCCGGCACAACAGAAGACAUGAGACUCCCGAGCAAGAUACUGGUUAAUGAGCUGUUGACACAGCCCUUAUAUGUAUUAGGAGACAGUGCAGAGGCGCCGGACACAUCCCAGGGAAGAGCGCAGGAGAGAGAAGCCAAACAGGUGCCGUGGGGGCUGCCACACCUACAGAUGGACACCACCAGGCAAGAAUCUCAGGCUUGCAGUUUUCAGCCCUCAGUCUUCACGUUGCCUCCUCAACAGAUCACUGAACUUUGAAACAGUGCAGAUGCUGGUGCUGAAGGCCCAGGGGACAGGCACCCAUGAGACCAGUCCUUUCCUUCCUCUGCCCCUGCAAUCUUCAGAUCGCAGGUCUCCUUAAAGCACAGCGCUUCCUCUGCCAGCUGUGCGCUACUCAAGGGAGGCUUCGCCAGAGAGAGCUGCCAGGAACUCAUGACAUCCCGGAAGUCGCCACAGCUGGACACUGAUAGAAACCUGAAUGGGAGCUGAUGCAAAAUCCUGCUCCUUCUCACCGGCCUGCAGCUGAACCAGCACCUGGUGGAGCUGAGUAAGAGAGAACAGGUGAGUUCUUGCUCCUUCCCAACAUCUUUCCCUCUGACCCACCUCAGAUUUAGCCCCAAAUUAUCCUUGUGUUGCCUGUUACCACUGCUACUGCCUUAUCACCUGAUGUGUGUGCAGCACUUGGAAUUCUUUUUACAGGGCCUUCAUGCCUGCUGUCCUGUUCUCUCUGUGGGAACCUCAUGGGGCAGUGGGUCAAGAGACUAGAUGCGGUGUUACAGGUCGUGGGCCAUAGUCAGGGUUUUCUGCUUCCAGCCUCCCAUCUUUCCUCAUGUACAAGAGGGACUUGGGGACUUGAAGCAGGGUAGAUGAUAGGGCUGGUCACCUUUUUUUAUUUAAUUGAAGUCAUCUUUAUGAUCUUGAGGUAAAUGGACAAAAGGAAUCCAGCAUUAUAUCGUUGUCUUGGCACUUGAGGAAGAACCCACUGCUCAAGUGCCCGUGGUAGUUUAGAUUUCCUCAGAGUCUGAGAACCCUACUCAGGGGUCUCGCCUGGGUUCAGAAUAUCACUUAAAGUCACUUCUGCCCCUGUUGUUCUGGUGGAACUUGAAAGGUCAAAUCAAGAACACAAGAAGGCUGGAGCAGGAAAAGGGGAGCCAGAGCAGAGGAAGGGGGCAGACCAUCUGCACUGGCAGCACUGGUCACCCCAGCCCAGAGCAUGUGUUGGCAUGUGCAUGCGACUCAGAAGUAGCCUGUGCGCACUGAGCUCAGAGCUGCCAAAGGGAACACGGGUGGGUGGUGGGGCUCACCUGACAACAGUUGCUACUUAAAGUAGUACUCACCAUUCCAACCAUAUUUUUAACAGCCUUCGCCAGCAGAUUAUAAGAAAAAGAAAGAAAGAGAGAGAGAAGAGAGUUUAGACUCAAGCAUAGGUUGUUAUGCAACACGAGGUGAUCAUUGCUUUAGGAAGCGCCAUACCAGGCCCGCGGCUCUGACCGGGAGGGGAGAGGAGCAAGAGUCAGCAGGGACACAAGAAAAUGAAUGACCAGAUGCACUUGGGGUGGGGUCAGCUAGGCCCUGCCCUUCUUCAUCAGGAGAGAUGCAGGCCAGAUUAGGGGAGAGGGGGGGUCACAGCAGGGCAUGUGUGGACCAUUCUGUAAAACAAAGUCACUCAGAAAAUGUCCCCUGGCCACUAGGGCAGAAAGCCCAGGACCCUUUUCUGGGGCCCAGUAGUGUCUUAGGUGGAAAGUCCCCAGUAUGCAUCAAAAGCAAGAAAUUAAGCGACUGGCUUGCUGGACUCUCAACCUUGACCUACAGAUAUUCUAGCCUUUUCCUUUGUAGAGCUUUGGCUUUUAUUCCUUCAAAUUCAGGGUGUUUUAAUAUGCAGUGUUCUGGAAGUCUCUUCCUGAUUCCUUUCAACAAGCAGCUAUAACACACUUACUACAAAAAAUGUGGGGAAUGCAAUGAAGGUCCUGAUCACUGAUCUGUGUUCUCAGAACACUGUUACUGUGUUCCGACUUCACACUAGAAACAACCCCACAUCAGGGGCAGCUCUGGGUACCACUCACUUUGUGCAUAUAGAGGUUAAUCCUAGAUGGAGAUUUCCACACAGAAAUAUUUCUCCUUAAAUCUGCUGAUAAAUCUGUCAACAAUGCAUAUGAUUUUUUUCAAAUUAUUACACUCCAGGGUGACCAGAGAAAUCGAGCUGUGCUCUGUAGGGCUGCUACACCAUCCAGAAGCCCACCGCCAAGGCGCGUGGCAGGUCCUCAGUGGCCAGCUGGACCAUCAGAAACUCUGAGGGUUGGGAAGGACUACAUGAUGCUGAGAGUUCAAAUUCUCCAAAUUAGAUCUACACAAUCCUAAAAGAAAGCAUGUUUUAAAAACUGCUAUAAGGUGUCCCUUGUAUUAGUGUUGAAUUUAUGUUCACUUCAGUGCCUCCAUCCUAUUACAGGCAUAGUGCAUACUUAGAGAAUAAACAACACUUUUAGGCAGGCUGGUCCUGCACCCACUUGGCUGUGACACUUGUUAAUCAGCCAAAAAAGUUAGCAGGUGGGGAUGACAGGGUGUAGUAGGCCACUGAACGGAGACUUCAGGAAAUGCCCUGACACUACAGGUGAUAGGGGCCCUUUAAGCAUGCUCUGUAGAUCCACAAUGCUCCCGGGACUCAAUUAAGACAAUUCUCUAACUUCUAGCCCUCACCUUUUCCUUGUAAUCACAAAAGCUGGAAAAAGCAACGAGACUGAUGGCAUUACUUGCAGGUUCCUACUUCGUCUUUCCAACUAGGCUCAACCUCAGGCCCGGGCUUAGCUGCCCAGGUUCAGCUGCCCUGAUGACUCACCCGGCUGAUUAGUUGCUCGCCCGUUUCCGAGGCGGUGAUGAGCUUGCAGAGGGCCUGAAGGGCAGGGUUGGGCAAACCUAAACCAGGAAGGAGACAGAGAUUAUCCAUUAGGGCCUCUGCACCCACGGUCUUGCUGCCUUUCCAGGAGAACGCACCCAUAAUGCUUAGCAUUGGUGGCAUUUUUCCAAAGCUUGGACAGCCAGACAUGUGUGUCCUGGCCUGGCAUGGAAAAGGUGAAAGCAGUCUCUAAGAAAGGUAGGUGGAGGCAGGGGCCAGACCUGACCAUGCUGCACAUGAUCACAUUCACAGGACCAGGUCUCGGGCUCAGGCAGCAUCACCCUCUCUAGGUGAAGCGCAGAGGGCAGCCCUGCAUGUCUGCCUCCUGCUUUUACCUGGGGUUGGCCGCACAGCUCUAUCCGAUUCGCAGCUGCUGAUUACAUAUUAAUGGCAGCUCCUGUUUGUCCAGCUUUUGUGCCACCCCAGAAAAAGGCAGAGACACGGUGGCGCCCUGCUGGGGCAGAGGAUGCCUUGCCAUUACCAAUGCAAAGAUCGGGUUAAGGGCACUAGUUUUCCUCCAAACCAGGAGAAGCGGUGGCUGGGGCUCCUGGCCAUUUCUCAGGAUACUCUCUUGCGCCUUCCUGCCAGUGAGAUCCAACAUCCCUGUGACUGCAGGGACCGUGGCCACCAAUUGCUUUGUCCCUCAGAGUCCCAGCCCUCCCCGAGGCUCACCCAGCAGGGCCUGGAUGGUGUUGCUGCACUGUUGGAGCCGGUCGCCUGGGUCGGAUGUUGGGAAGAAAACAGCUGCCGGCAGGCCACUGGCUGGGGGGUCUAGCCGGAAGCCCACUGCGGUGAGGAGGGCCUGCCAGCCGGGUAUGCCACCCACUUUGUUCUCCACGCUCUGCUGGGACGUGUACAUGGCAUUUCGCUGUCCAUUCUGGAUGCGCUGCAGGGACUUCUCCACCUGGAGGGGUAAGGGGUUGAGGUGCUGUUCUGCUCAUGGUCCAGCCUGGAUUUCUCUCUGAGUGGCUUUGGGGACACAAAGGCCCAGGUUCAGGGCUGCUGCUGCUACUUAGGCCAGGAGACCAAGAUACUGGCAGUGGCACUGCUUCUUGCACAGGGAGAAGUUAUAGCAAGCACAGACUGGUGUGACCUGGAAGAAUUCUGUCCUUCCCUCACCCACCUACCACUCCAGGCUCUUCACAGACACUGAAGUGACUUGUCUUGAAAACCAAUCUCAGGUCAGAGGACUUCCCCAAACCACAUGAUGGCUCCAUCACCAGGAUGAGCCCUCUGGACUUCCAGACCCCACACACCCAUCAGUGCCCAUCAAAGCCCUGGCUUCCAGUGCCCUUCUUCCCUGUACCUCCAACUGGUUUAUCCUUAAUCCCCCACGCACUCUGAACCUGUCCCUGCCCCUCUACCAUCAGGCCCCUCCUACCUUCUAGGACCCGAACUGGUGCCUGGCCCAUGCGGGGUGAGUUCACCAUAGAACUACUGCAACGACCCCUUCUGGUGAGCAUCACACAGUGCCCCACAGCAGGCCUUUCCCCACACUCCUCUCUCUGGAGGGAUAGAAGAGUGACCCAAGAGGUCACAUGGGGUCUGCCCGAGGCCGCCAUGACAGGCAGUAGAAAUGAACUCCUGGGCAGGGCGGACACCUAGCCAGAGGGCUGCUGCUGGGUGGGAAGGGCCCUGGAGAGAAACUGGCCAAGAAGAGAAGGAAAACCCUUAAAUAUGCCCAAGGAGCCUUGAGGCCAUUUGGGGCAUAGCUGAGGGCCUGGCUUUUGCUGGCCUCAGAAGAGAGCCAAGUGGGCAGAGAGGCAGUUCACUUAUCUAAGAAAAGUGAGAGCUGCAGCAAGGAAGAUGACUUUGGGGUGACAGGGACCUAAGGAGGCCCUAGUGCUAAGCAACUUAAAGGCUCUGUGCAGUAUCCAGAUGAGUCAAAAUCAAAGACUUGUCUCCACAAGUUCUCCCUGCACGCAAGCACAUCUGUUCUGUGGUAAGCAGUGUGAGCCACCUUCUCUGGCCUGAGAAUGGGGGAGGUUUGCAGGUUCUGGCAUUCUUUCUUAUUCAUACUCUGAUUUCUUUCAGCCCUGAGGAGCCCUUCAGGCAGAAGGGCUCCCUAAACUUCAGAAAUAUGCACAGCAAACGAAUCACCAGGAGUGCACUGAGAGCUGCCACCUCUGGGCCUGACACUGGCAUCCAGAGGACAUGCCUACUGGGAACCCCACCCCAGCCUUUGAACUGCCUGCUCAAAACAAACCCCAGCCACUUUCCCUGGGCCCGUCCUCCUGAGCACAGAGCCAAGGUGUGCUCGCCUCUGUCCUGCCAGGGCCCAUGUGUGGAUAUUGGCCUUGGGUUUGGAAAGAGCAUGGAUGUGUCAGGGUCUGCCCACCAUAGCAGUGGCCCAGGCUGGGUGGACUGCUCUUUCCGGAACAGACUUCCAAGGAGCUAAAAAUUCUAAAUUAUUUGAAACUGCCUUCCAGGUUAUCAAGGUAGAAACCAUUUUAUAUCACCAUUUCUUGACUUAGACUUCUGAGUUUAAGUGGAAGGCCUGCUUUAUCUGAUUAAAAAAUAUCGUCUCAGCUACUGAGGCCCUGUGUGCCAGCUAUUCACAUU